UACGUAGGGUGCGAGCGUUGUCCGGAAUUAUUGGGCGUAAAGAGCUCGUAGGCGGCCUGUCGCGUCGAUUGUGAAAGCCCGGGGCUUAACCCCGGGUCUGCAGUCGAUACGGGCAGGCUAGAGUUCGGUAGGGGAGAUCGGAAUUCCUGGUGUAGCGGUGAAAUGCGCAGAUAUCAGGAGGAACACCGGUGGCGAAGGCGGAUCUCUGGGCCUUACCUGACGCUGAGGAGCGAAAGCGUGGGGAGCGAACAGG
rnacentral:rRNA from 1 species